GCGCCUGUGACGGUAGCUUGCCGGACAAGGAGCAUUGGAAUGGAGGGAGGGCCAGGUACCAGAUUGGGGAGCCUUGCGUCGACGCUGCGCCUGAUUCAAGCUGGGCGUGACUCAUAGGGUACUCAGGGUAACUUGGGUGUUCUAGGAGAUGUGAACAGAGAUAUAACGGCACAGGCUGGCAACAGAACAUGCAAAAAUCUCGGCGUGCGGCAGUGAGUGGAAUACGCGGCUGAGCAAG
rnacentral:SRP_RNA from 13 species